GUGACGCUGGAGCUUGCUCCAGCUGAUCAGUGGCGAACGGGUGAGUAACACGUGAGCAACCUGCCCUUGACUCUGGGAUAACCCCGGGAAACCGGAGCUAAUACCGGAUACGAACCGCACAGGCAUCUGCGUGGUUGGAAAGUUUUUCGGUCAAGGAUGGGCUCGCGGCCUAUCAGCUUGUUGGUGGGGUAACGGCCCACCAAGGCGACGACGGGUAGCCGGCCUGAGAGGGCGACCGGCCACACUGGGACUGAGACACGGCCCAGACUCCUACGGGAGGCAGCAGUGGGGAAUAUUGCACAAUGGGCGAAAGCCUGAUGCAGCGACGCCGCGUGAGGGAUGAAGGCCUUCGGGUUGUAAACCUCUUUCAGCAGGGAAGAAGCGAAAGUGACGGUACCUGCAGAAGAAGCACCGGCUAACUACGUGCCAGCAGCCGCGGUAAUACGUAGGGUGCAAGCGUUGUCCGGAAUUAUUGGGCGUAAAGAGCUCGUAGGCGGUCUGUCGCGUCUGCUGUGAAAACUCGGGGCUCAACCCCGGGCCUGCAGUGGGUACGGGCAGACUAGAGUGCGGUAGGGGAGACUGGAAUUCCUGGUGUAGCGGUGAAAUGCGCAGAUAUCAGGAGGAACACCGGUGGCGAAGGCGGGUCUCUGGGCCGUAACUGACGCUGAGGAGCGAAAGCAUGGGUAGCGAACAGGAUUAGAUACCCUGGUAGUCCAUGCCGUAAACGU
rnacentral:rRNA from 1 species